UACAGAGGGUGCUAGCGUUGUUCGGAAUCAUUGGGCGUAAAGCGCACGUAGGCGGCCUACUAAGUCGGAUGUGAAAUCCCUCGGCUCAACCGAGGACGUGCAUACGAAACUGGUAGGCUCGAGUAUGGAAGAGGGUCGCGGAAUUCCCGGUGUAGAGGUGAAAUUCGUAGAUAUCGGGAGGAACACCAGUGGCGAAGGCGGCGACCUGGGCCAAUACUGACGCUGAGGUGCGAAAGCGUGGGGAGCAAACAGG
rnacentral:rRNA from 1 species